UUGGAAACUGAUUUAUUUGAGUGCGAUAGAGGCAAGUGGAACUCCAUGUGUAGCGGUGAAAUGCGUAAAAUAUGUGGAAGAACACCAGUGGCGAAAGCGGCUUGCUAGAUCGUAACUGACGUUGAGGCUCGAAAGUAUGGGUAGCAAACGGGAUUAGAUACCCCGGUAGUCCAUACCGUAAACGAUGGGUGCUAGUUGUUAAGAGGUUUCCGCCUCCUAGUGACGUAGCAAACGCAUUAAGCACCCCGCCUGAGGAGUACGGCCGCAAGGCUAAAACUUAAAGGAAUUGACGGGGACCCGCACAAGCGG
rnacentral:rRNA from 1 species